UCUCCCUUCCCACCCCUUAGCCCUUCGGACACUCUCUAUCCUUUCCUUCCUUCUCUAUCCCCCAAGACCAGCCGGCAGAGAGGAACACUUACGCAUGCGCAUUCGUAUUCUCCACCAGGAAACCCGGGAUCACUCAGGUGUGGUGUGACCAUCUCUCUGAAGAUUUUCAUGUGGUGACUUCUCUACAGUGAAGGGCUGUAGCCUGGGACUGUGAGCCGAAACAAAUCCUUUCCCCUCUAAAUUGCUUUUCAUCAUGGAGUUUUAUCACAGCAACACCAUGAUUUUAAAAGUACCUUGGGGUCGAGAGCUGGCUCAGAAAAUAAAGAGACUUGUCCUUCAAGCCUGGCCACCUAUGCUUGAUCCCCAGAACCCAAGUCAAAGUGGGAGGAGAACACUGACCCCACAAACUUGUCCUUUG